ACCCCGCCCCCCCUCCCCCUUCCCCGCCCGCGGCACGCGAACCGCGCCGGGCCACGCCGAUGGCGCUGGGCGAGACGGCUCAGGCCACGGCGGCCUCAGCCGCAGGGGAGGUCCCCUCGUAGCCCGCCGCUGUCAGUACGCGCGGCGAGGCGCGGGCGAGGAGGCGGGCAGAGUGAGCCGGGGACCCCCCCCACCCCCCACCACGCACACCCCGAGGACGCACCUCGUGGCGCCGGCAGGGAGCGACCGGCGGGACAGGACCCGCACUGCAGGGAGCCCGAGGGAGUUCCCCCCUCCCCCUCUCCGCCGAUACUCGUGGGCUCGAGUGCGCGGUCAGUGCAAGGCACGCGUCUUCUUUUUGCGAGCGACACUUUGCGCCGCGUUCGUUUAUUCUCGCCCGGAGUGAGCAUGGCCGCGGCGCUGACUCUCAACAGUAGCGAUUUGCCCAACAACCCGAUGGUGAUGGAGUAUGUGAAUGACUUUGACCUUAUGAAACUAGAAGUGAAGAAGGAGCCGCUGGAGCUGAGCCUGAGCCGCGCGUGCGGCCGCCUCGAGGGCUCCCUGUCGUCGUCUCCCAUGAGCACCCCCUGCAGUUCCGUGCCGCCCUCCCCCACCUUCAGCGCGCACAGCCCCGGGGCGCCGCGCCCCAGCCUCGAGGACUUGUACUGGAUGUCCCACUACCAACAGCCGCAGCCGCAGCAGCAGCAGCCGCAGCAUCCACAGCAGCAGCAGCACGCGCACCAACCCCAGCAGCAGCAGCAGCAACAGCAGCAGCAGCACCUAAACCCAGAGGCACUGAACCUGACUCCGGAGGACGCGGUCGAGGCCCUCAUCGGCUGCGCCCACGCCGCGCAGGGCUUCGAUUGCUACCGCGCGCCCGUGCCGCAGUUCGCGGGGCUGGGCACCAGCGGCCGGGAGGAGCUGCAGGGAGAGACCUCGAGCCACGAGGGUGGACAGCCGGCGGUCGCGAGCCACCACAACCACCACGGCCACAACCACCACCACCACCACAACCACCACGGCCACCACGACCACGGCGGGACGUCGGGCCAGCAGCAGCACGGGGCACGCGUGGACGAGCGCUUCUCCGAGGACCAGCUGGUGUCCAUGUCGGUGCGGGACCUCAACCGGCAGCUGCGCGGCUUCAGCAAGGAGGAGGUGAUCCGCCUCAAGCAGAAGCGGCGCACGCUCAAGAACCGCGGCUACGCGCAGUCGUGCCGCUACAAGCGCGUGCAGCAGAGGCACCUGCUGGAGCACGAGAAGACAGAGCUGCUGCGCCAGGUGGAGUCCCUGAAGCAGGAGCUGGCGCGGCUCGCGCGCGAGCGCGACGCCUACAAAGACAAGUACGAGCGACUCGUCGUGGGAGGCGGCGCGGGUGGAGGAGGUGGUGGUGGUGGAGGAAGUGGAGGAGGUGGUUAUUUCAGGGACGCUGGCUCCCACAGCAGCGGCAGCCCUUCCUCGCCCGAGUUUUUCCUGUGAGUCUCCGCCGCGCGCCGGCCCCAUCCUCCCGUCGCCUCUCCCCCUCUGCUGCGACUCGCGGCGCUCGCGCGAUCGCCUCCGCGUGCCUCUCGCUCCGGGCCGUGCGGAGGGGUCUGAAGGCCGGGACGACUGGGACCUCUAUGGCCAGUUGUCAACAUCAUCAUCAUCCGCAGCAGCAGCAAGCGCAUCAUCAUCAACAACAACCACAUCACCACCAUCAGCGGCAGCAUCAUAAUCACGAUGAUCAUGAUCAUCAUCAUCCGCAUCGCCACAAUCAACUGCGUUGCCACCGCCGCCGCCGCCGUCUGGGCGCUACGCUGCCAUCCCCUGUCUCGUCGCGCGUCUGGACAAGCGGCGCGUGGUGGGGGGCGCGGGGCCGCGAUCCAGAACCAAAGUGCGAGAGGAGGCUCCGUGACCCGUGACCCAUGACCCGUGACCCGUGCUCUGUGACCCGUGACCCCUGCUAAGUGACCCGUGACCCGUGCUCGAUGGGAAAACAUCGCCCCUUCGCUCACGCGUCACGGCUUCACCUGGCGCGCGGGACUGACGGUGGCAACGAUGGUGACGAUGAGGAUGGUGGCGAUGAGGAUGGUGGCGACGAAACCGCGCGUAUUACGCACACGGGGACCCCACGCGGAGGGCGCACAUUGAGUAAAAGGACGCGGAUUGUUGAGGCUGCGGUCGGGACGCCGCUUGGGUCAUGAAAGGAUCAACGCGGGGACCCCUGACGCAGGCCCCGCGUUCCCCACCACCACCAGCAGUACCACCAGCAGCACCACCAGCACCAGCAGCACCACCAGCACCACCAGCAGCAGCAGCACCACCACCAGCACCAGCAGCAGCACCACCAGCACCACCACCAGCAUCAGCAGCAGCACAACCAGCACCAGCAGCACCAGCAGCAGCACCAGCAGCACCACCACCAGCAGCACCAGCAGCACCAGCAGCAGCAGCACCAGCAGCACAGCACCACCACCAGCACCAGCAGCACCACCACCAGCACCACCACCAGCAUCAGCAGCACAACCAGCACCAGCAGCACCACCAGCAGUACCAGCAGCACCACCACCAGCAGCACCACCAGCACCAGCAGCACCACCACCACACACCACCACCAGCACCAGCAGCACCAGCACCAGCAGCACUACCAGCACCACCAGCAGCAGCAGCACCAGCAGCAGCACCACUAGCACCAUGGCCACCACAAAAAGCCACCCUCACCAGGCGGCACCGAACGACCUCAAGAGUCACCGCUGCUGCCCGUGUCGCUGCCCCCUCCUCCCCCACUCGGCCGGCUGGCGAGUGGGCACGGGGGCGCGCCGCACGGAGCGUCGGGGACAUCGCGAACAAUGCUGCGGCAGCCCACGGCGCGGUCUUCCACGGAGCGUGAGACUCUCUUCGUCAGGGUUGUGUGGUUACGCAAGACGUCUUCUAUUUAUAUUGCGGCAUUGAGAAAAGGAAAAAAACACAUCGGCGACGGCGGCGUGGACGCGUAGCGCCAAAAGAAACCCUCCAGGCGACGAAUACGCACACUGUUUUAAACAUCCAUUUUCUAUCUCACCCCUUCCCCCCUCGCCCCUCCCGUUUGUUCGUCUCGUUCCGUAGCGACCCAAACAACAACAACAACAACAACAACAACAACAACAACAACAACAACAACAAGAGUUAGACAACGCAUCGCCCCGUGCGGGCGACGCUCUUCUGUACAUAACGACGAUGACGAUGAUGGCGAUGAUGAUGAUGAUGGUGAUCCCUGGAGGGUAGCGGGGGGGGGACAUUGGCGUGGCGUGCCGAGAGCUCACGGCACGCGGCAGGAGAGGAGGAGCCGAGCGGGCCACGUGGCGGCAGCCGCAUGCGACCUCUGCGUUAUCUUUAGUCCAGGGGGGGGAGUGGGGUGGAGGUGGAAGGGGGUGGGGGGCAGCUCGUGAGAUGCCCCUCGCCUCUGCGGCGACUCGCGCCCCGCUCCACCCACGGCGCGCAACGGCGGCGAAUUAAUUCAGCCAUCAGCCAAACGAAAACAACAACAAUCACUGCAGAUGCGCCGCGUGUCUGUGACGCCUCUAAGUGCGCUCAGUGUCAACAUGACUCCCCCCCAUCAACCCCACUACGCCCCCCCCCACCGGCGGAGAGGGAACCAGAGUCUCGCCGUCGCUCGCCGCGGGACGCGGUCGCCGCGUAGCGUCCACGACGAGACGCUGGCCGAGUGCAUGAAGACAACGCGCGCGACAUUUACUGUUUGUACAGCGCGGGUUUCUCUCCCUUCCUCUCUCCCUGUGUCUCUCUCUCUCUGUGUAUCUCUCCGUCUGUCUAUAUGUCUCUGUCUGUCUCUCUCUGUGUUUCUCUGUCUGUCUAUCUCUCUCUCGCUCUGUGUUAUUGCGACGCGACAGCCUGACCGCGGUGCACGGCCCCCACGUAUCUAUCUAUGCAUGACCCCGUGCACGCUUUCGGGCGCACCGCCACAUCCGCUGCGCUCUCUCCCCUCUCUCGUUCCCGUUUCUUACCCCCCUCUGUUCUCUCUCUCUCUCUACGCUCUCUCUACUCCCAUUCUCUCCCUUCACUCUCUCCUCUCUCUCUCUCUUUUCUACACCGCAUCCCCGUUACUCUCCAUCUGCCUCCACGCUUCCUCCUCUCUCUACUCUCACUAAUUCCCUCUCUCCCCUGUCACUUCAUCGCUCUCACAUUCUCUCUCACGCCUCUCCCCCACCCUGCUCCAGUUCGAUGGCUGCACGGACCCUGGCGCGGGCAAUA